rnacentral:rRNA from 1 species
GUGUCAGCAGCCGCGGUAAGACGAGGGGUCCAAGCGUUGUUCGGAAUCAUUGGGCGUAAAGCGGGUGUAGGCGGCUCUAUAAGUCAGGAGUGAAAGCCCCAAGCUCAACUUGGGAAGUGCUUUUGAUACUGCAGAGCUUGAAUGUGGGAGAGGGUAGUGGAAUUCCAGGUGUAGUGGUGAAAUACGUAGAUAUCUGGAGGAACACCGGUGGCGAAGGCGGCUACCUGGCCCAACAUUGACGCUGAGACCCGAAAGCAUGGGGAUCAAACAGGAUUAGAUACCCCCGUAGUCC